GGCCCCAUCGUCUAGUCAGGCCUAGGACAUCGGACUUUCGCUCCGACAACGGGGGUUCGAAUCCCCCUGGGGUCA
rnacentral:tRNA from 1 species